UUAAAAUUUAUGAAUUAAUUAAAUGUCAGUAAUGAACAAGACUGCACAAAUUAUAGCGAUCACGAGGAAGGUCCGCAUACAGUAAAGUGGACAGUUGACAGCCCUAGUCUAUAGUGCCACCUGCUGCCGCAGUUUUGUAACUUCUUAGAGAAAACUAAGUCAUUAUAACGAGAAAACGACUUUCGUUAUGUCGAGAUAACGAGAAAAUUAAGUCGUUAUAACGAGAAAACAAGAAAGAAAAAAAUUAUAAUGCAUGGCCGCUUAGAACUUCCAUAGAAAA